AUAAUGCAGUCGAACGCUUUGUGGUCCAACUGAUUUGAAGAGCUUGCUCAGAUAUGACGAUGGACAUUGCAAAGAGUGGCGAACGGGUGAGUAACACGUGGGAAACCUACCUCUUAGCAGGGGAUAACACUUGGAAACAAGUGCUAAUACCGUAUAACACUAAUAACCGCAUGGUUAUUAGUUAAAAGAUGGUCUUGCUAUCACUAAGAGAUGGUCCCGCGGUGUAUUAGCUAGUUGGUAAGGUAAUGGCUUACCAAGGCAAUGAUACAUAGCCGAGUUGAGAGACUGAUCGGCCACAAUGGGACUGAGACACGGCCCAUACUCCUACGGGAGGCAGCAGUAGGGAAUCUUCCACAAUGGACGAAAGUCUGAUGGAGCAACGCCGCGUGUGUGAUGAAGGGUUUCGGCUCGUAAAACACUGUUGUAAGAGAAGAAUGACAUUGAGAGUAACUGUUCAGUGUGUGACGGUAUCUUACCAGAAAGGAACGGCUAAAUACGUGCCAGCAGCCGCGGUAAUACGUAUGUUCCAAGCGUUAUCCGGAUUUAUUGGGCGUAAAGCGAGCGCAGACGGUUAUUUAAGUCCGAAGUGAAAGCCCACAGCUUAACUGUGGAAGUGCUUUGGAAACUGGAUAACUUGAGUGCAGUAGAGGAGAGUGGAACUCCAUGUGUAGCGGUGAAAUGCGUAGAUAUAUGGAAGAACACCAGUGGCGAAGGCGGCUCUCUGGACUGUAACUGACGUUGAGGCUCGAAAGUGUGGGUAGCAAACAGGAUUAGAUACCCUGGUAGUCCACACCGUAAACGAUGAGUGCUAGAUGUUUGAGGGUUUCCGCCCUUAAGUGUCGCAGCUAACGCAUUAAGCACUCCGCCUGGGGAGUACGACCGCAAGGUUGAAACUCAAAGGAAUUGACGGGGACCCGCACAAGCGGUGG
rnacentral:rRNA from 1 species